GUCCCUGUUGGAGCGGCCCAGCCUGGCCUCCAGGUAUCUAGGUAUCCUCCCAUCUCAGGCCAGACUGGAGAUUGAGCGCCUGUUGUAUACGGGCCCUGGGCUAACCCUCCCCCCAUCACACAACUCAACAGCAACGCCCAAGCCACAACUUCUCUGGGCCUCAGGUUCCCUACCUGCAAAACAGUGUGGGUAACAGUACCCCCCCAACCCAUGGCACUCAAGGAGGGAUGAAUCGAGUUCAGGAGGUUAAGGUGGGCACCAACAGGUGUCAGAGAAGGGGGCACCAGGGCAGUCCCAUUUCAUGGUUGACGACAACUGAGGCUCAGGGAUCCUCUGCUUGGAGACAUGGGGCUGGGGUUUGAACCCAGGUCUGGGUGACCACAGAGCCUCCCACGCAGACCCCACAAUCUCUGCAGGGCAACAGGGGUCUGGAGUUUCCCGGUCCUCUGGGAUCCCGAGUGGGCCAGAUGUCUCGGACGGCAACACACUCACCCAGCCUAGAGUGCCUUCCACCCAGGGCCAGUCCUAAUGGCCUGGGUGAAGAACAGAGACUCCUGGGGCCUGGGUCCCACCCGAGCCACCCCCUAGCCCAGGCCACACCUCCACCCGCCCAGGCCGCCAAUAAAACAGGCCGGGCAGAACCCAACAGGCCUGGAGUGACACCCCAGAGGGAAGGCACAUCAUGGGGACAGCGGAGGGGGCAAAGCUCCACCCUCCCGAGAGGCAGCUGGGCCCAGGAGGCCGCCCCCAACCCUUACCGUGGCAAAGGAGCCCCCAAGACUCAUACACAGCUCCUGGGCAGACAAGGCCUGGAGAGACGAGGAGGCAGAGGCCCCUGGAACUCAGAUCCCUCCUGUGACCCGACCCCACCCAGGGUCUGGUCGGGUCUGUCGCCCCUCCCCCACCUGGGACAACUUCAAGACAAGGCCCCCCCCCACGGAAGAGCUCCAAGCAAAGCCCCCCCUCUUUGGGGGCACAGAAGGAAGAGGCCAAAGGAAGCCACUCCCCCCACCAGCCUGCUCCGAGCCCUGCUGGGUUUAAUGACCCUUCCGGGUCGCCGGGUGGGGGAGGGGAGCAGGACAGACCUCCACGUUGGGGCCGGUGGAGGGGGCAGGUGGGGAUCCCAGAUUCCCCCCUAGGUCAGGGCUGGGUGCCCCCCCAUCGCCGCCAUUAACCCUAAACUAGCUACGCCCACCCCCUUCAGACCCCUCCCCCCAAGAGCCCUUUGUCCUCGACCCCCACCCCCAUUUUAUGACAGCCCCAAGGGAGAGGCUGGGACGGGGCGCUGGGUGGUCGGUCGUUGGACCAGGCAGGGGUGGGGGGCGGAGGGAUCCUGGGCCACACCCUCCUCCCCCCAGGCCUCCGGAGAGAGGUCACCCGCUCGGCCCGGGCCUUGCAAAACAUGGUUAUUUAAAGAGUUGUGCAAGGCCCCGGGCCCGCGGGUGGCGAAAGGGGCCCCUCACUCCACGAAGGGAAGAGGAGGGGGAGGGGCGGGGCAGAAAGCUGGGGAGGGGGCUAAGAAAGUCCUGGGUUGGGGGGUGCCUGGAGGAAGUGAGAAAAAAACUCAAGAAGGAGAAGAAAUAAGAAGACAGAAACCCUGGUCCGGAUUUCAAAGGCUUCUUGGAAAGCGGCCGAUUUGCAUGGGGGGGGAACCCCUCCAGCCCGAGCGCCUAAAAACGGAAGAUAAUUGAACCCGCCGCCCGGGGCCGGCGCCGAGCGUUGGAGUUGACAAACGCGCGCUCCCAGCGCUUCCUGCGCCCGCUUUUGUGUCUGGGGGGCCCUGAAACGGGUCAGGGGGCUCUUCCUGGGUAUCCCCGCCGAGGAACCGGGCGCCCGGGCCCAACCCACCCCGGCGCGCGGGGGCCGCGGUGUCUCCCCCGGGGGCCCCUCUCUGCGCUGGGGCGGACACUUUAUAAAUAAACCAGCCCGGCUGGGGAGGCUCGCCGGGAACUACCCUCCCUCCUCUCCGGGCUCCCGAAUAAAUCCCUGAUUUCGGGGAGAAAGAAUAAAAAUGAAAUAAAAUAUCGGGGUGCAGCCCCCCGCGCGCGCGCAGAGACCAUUUCCUUCCGCUGGGGGGGGGGGGCGCGCACUCGCGACCCCCGAUCGCCCCU